rnacentral:rRNA from 1 species
AACGCGAAGAACCUUACCUGGGCUCGAACGGCUUACGACAGGGGUGGAAACACCCUCUCCCCUUAAAAGGCGUGAGUCGAGGUGCUGCAUGGCUGUCGUCAGCUCGUGUCGUGAGAUGUUGGGUUAAGUCCCGCAACGAGCGCAACCCUUGUCCUGUGUUGGCAUGCCGCAAGGCGCAACUCGCAGGAGACCGCCAGCGAUAAGCUGGAGGAAGGUGGGGAUGACGUCAAGUCAUCAUGGCCUUUAUGUCCAGGGCCACACACGUGCUACAAUGGGCGGUACAAAGCGCUGCCAACCCGCGAGGGGGAGCUAAUCGCAAAAAAGCAUGCUCAGUUCGGAUUGCAGUCUGCAACUCGACUGCAUGAAGCCGGAAUCGCUAGUAAUGGCGGAUCAGAACGCCGCCGUGAAUACGUUCCCGGGCCUUGUACACACCGCUACAGU